CAAAAUGUGGAAAUUGAUAUCAAGGGAGUUCGUUUUCCAACUGCUUUGAUAGUCAUCGAGUCUGCCAAGUUGGAUGUUAUUUUGGGAAUGAACUGGUUGACCCAAUAUCAAGUGUGCUUCAACUGUGCGACCCGAGAAGUCACCAUGACAAGUCAGGAAGGGCAAUUCUAUGCCUGCAGAAGUAUACCCAAAAGAGAACUGCUCUUCACUGCUGUAGCUGAAGAAUUGAAUUUAAUUCAUGUGGUUAGUGAAUUUCCCGAUGUAUUCCCCGAGGAAUUACCAGGAAUGCCGCCAAACCAAGAGCUUGAGUUUGCAAUUGAUCUUGUG
rnacentral:rRNA from 1 species